AUGACGGAGAAGUUUGAGGUCAUCAUAACGAAGGAGGAGACAUGUGUAAAGCGCCAUGAGGUGAAGGAGUCAAAGACGACGAAGGGGUUUAGCAAGUUCAUGGAGAUACAAGAGAAGAAUCUUGAGAUCAAGGUUGCUUCCAAUGACUCCAAGAUGUUGUUUGUGAAGAUGUUGGAUUAUGAUCCUGAUGUGACGAAGAUUGUCCUAGCCUAG
rnacentral:rRNA from 1 species